rnacentral:rRNA from 1 species
AGAGUUUGAUCCUGGCUCAGGACGAACGCUGGCGGCGCGCCUAACACAUGCAAGUCGAACGAGCGAGAGAGAGCUUGCUUUCUCGAGCGAGUGGCGAACGGGUGAGUAACGCGUGAGGAAUCUGCCUCAAAGAGGGGGACAACAGUUGGAAACGACUGCUAAUACCGCAUAAGCCCACGGUGCCGCAUGGCACAGAGGGAAAAGGAGUAAUCCGCUUUGAGAUGGCCUCGCGUCCGAUUAGCUAGUUGGUGAGGUAACGGCCCACCAAGGCGACGAUCGGUAGCCGGACUGAGAGGUUGAACGGCCACAUUGGGACUGAGACACGGCCCAGACUCCUACGGGAGGCAGCAGUGGGGAAUAUUGCACAAUGGGGGAAACCCUGAUGCAGCGACGCCGCGUGGAGGAAGAAGGUCUUCGGAUUGUAAACUCCUGUUGUUGGGGAAGAUAAUGACGGUACCCAACAAGGAAGUGACGGCUAACUACGUGCCAGCAGCCGCGGUAAAACGUAGGUCACAAGCGUUGUCCGGAAUUACUGGGUGUAAAGGGAGCGCAGGCGGGAAGACAAGUUGGAAGUGAAAUCUAUGGGCUCAACCCAUAACCUGCUUUCAAAACUGUUUUUCUUGAGUAGUGCAGAGGUAGGCGGAAUUCCCGGUGUAGCGGUGGAAUGCGUAGAUAUCGGGAGGAACACCAGUGGCGAAGGCGGCCUACUGGGCACCAACUGACGCUGAGGCUCGAAAGUGUGGGUAGCAAACAGGAUUAGAUACCCUGGUAGUCCACACCGUAAACGAUGAUUACUAGGUGUUGGAGGAUUGACCCCUUCAGUGCCGCAGUUAACACAAUAAGUAAUCCACCUGGGGAGUACGACCGCAAGGUUGAAACUCAAAGGAAUUGACGGGGGCCCGCACAAGCAGUGGAGUAUGUGGUUUAAUUCGACGCAACGCGAAGAACCUUACCAAGUCUUGACAUCCCUUGACAGGCAUAGAAAUAUGUUUUCUCUUCGGAGCAAGGAGACAGGUGGUGCAUGGUUGUCGUCAGCUCGUGUCGUGAGAUGUUGGGUUAAGUCCCGCAACGAGCGCAACCCUUAUGGUCAGUUACUACGCAAGAGGACUCUGGCCAGACUGCCGUUGACAAAACGGAGGAAGGUGGGGAUGACGUCAAAUCAUCAUGCCCUUUAUGACUUGGGCUACACACGUACUACAAUGGCGUUAAACAAAGAGAAGCGAGACCGCGAGGUGGAGCAAAACUCAGAAACAACGUCCCAGUUCGGACUGCAGGCUGCAACUCGCCUGCACGAAGUCGGAAUUGCUAGUAAUCGUGGAUCAGCAUGCCACGGUGAAUACGUUCCCGGGCCUUGCACACACCGCCCGUCA